rnacentral:miRNA from 1 species
GCCGUGGCCGCAGCAGGUCUGGGCUGGGCUGGGCUCCGAGUCCGCAGCGCGACGG